ACCUUCAGCGGGAGCUCAGCAUCACGUGGACCAGCAGCAGGGGGGCGGGGCGGGGCGGGGCAGGGCAGGGGGGGGGGGAGGAGGAGGGGCAGGGGAGAGGUGGGGAAAGGGCCAGUGGGAGGGCGAGAGCCACUCGUAACGGGCUCGGAAGAUCUCGGCUCUCUUCGAUUCCCUUCGGCGCUGCUCGGCUCGGUUCGGCCCGGUUCGGCUCCAGCUCGGCUCCAUGAUGGCGGCUGAAGGAGGCCCGUUCCCGUUCCUAAGCAGCGGCGAGACGCUUCUGCAGUUUGUUCGCAUCACUCGGCCUCUGUAGCUGAAUUAGAGAAGGAAGAAGAAGGAAGAAGAGGAUCUCCGGGCCUGGGUUGGAACGCUCGUAAUAUUUCGCGCGAGUUAUUAUUAUUUUAUUAUCUAGUUAGGAAAUUACUGUCCGCGGAUUAUUAUCAUUAUUAUUAUGUAGCGGAGACACAGAGAGCUCGUCUACAUUGUAAUUUACAUGAAGAGUUUUCCACUCCCUGCUCUGCUUGGACACCCCGAGGACUCGGGCUACGCGGACACAGCCGACACGUUGAGACACUGACUGACUGAGAGCGCGAGCCGAGACUUUGAUCCAAUCAAACAAUGUAACAAGUCAGCCUGGAAGCGCUUCUUUAAUCCACGGCUACAUUGUAACAGUUUGUAUGGAAGCGCUUCUCUUUGAUCCACGGCUACAUUGUUGUAACAGUUUGUGUGGGAGUGGCUCGCUUUAAUUCUGUGACGUCGCUGAAAUUGGACUCGUAACAACGCGAUCUUCUCUUCGUCCCCCAUGGCUUCGAGUGACCUGCGGGAGAAGAUGAGGAAGAAGCGCAGAGCCCUGCAGGAGACGCUGGGGAGAGUCAGGGAGGAUGCGGACACACAGGUGCUGGUUGCCACUGAUUGGGAAAUGAGUAAGGAUGGGGAACGGACCGCGGUACAGGAACCUUCCGGCAGCGAGGAGCAACAGGUGGCGACGCUGAAGCAGACGCUGAAGGCUCAGAGGAUGAAGCGGAGAAAGAAGCUUGUGGAGGACACGCCAGCCGAAACCCCCCCAGAGGCAGCGACAGGUGCCUCUGAGGUUGAACGUGGUCCCCGUGCUGGGGAAUCGAGGACCCCGGUGGCUGCGGCCAGCUCCAGCAGACGGAGCCCGAGAGGUGAGAGGUCACCUGUCUUCACUGAGGCAACGCCCAGUUGGUGUAUAGCUUCAAUCCCCAACACCUUCCCAGAGGAGUGACCCAGAAGGGGCUCCUGACUCUCUCUUCUCCCACCACCUUCAGACCUUCCUCCGCUGCCCGCGAGCUCCACCCUCACCCUCUCGGAGGGUCCUAUGAAACGGCGCAUGGUUGAGAAGCUGAAAGCUGCCAGGGUAGGAUGUGAACCAGCACCCUUCGCACAUUAUAAUAAAAACAUAAUAUGGCAGUUAAGGGACUUGAUU
rnacentral:lncRNA from 1 species